UACCAGCUCUCCGAGUGGUGUGGAUGUUUAUUGGGCCUAAAGCAUCCGUAGCUGGCUAAGUUAGUCCCUUGUUAAAUCCACCGAAUUAAUCGUUGGAUUGCGGGGGAUACUGCUUGGCUAGGGGACGAGAGAGGCAGACGGUAUUUUUGGGGUAGGGGUGAAAUCCUAUAAUCCCAGGAAGACCACCAGUGGCGAAGGCUGUCUGCUAGAACGCGCCCGACGGUGAGGGAUGAAAGCUGGGGGAGCGAACCGG
rnacentral:rRNA from 1 species